rnacentral:rRNA from 1 species
AACGAACGCUGGCGGCAGGCUUAACACAUGCAAGUCGAGCGCCCCGCAAGGGGAGCGGCAGACGGGUGAGUAACGCGUGGGAAUCUACCCAUCUCUACGGAAUAACGCAUGGAAACGUGUGCUAAUACCGUAUACGUCCUUCGGGAGAAAGAUUUAUCGGAGAUGGAUGAGCCCGCGUUGGAUUAGCUAGUUGGUGGGGUAAAGGCCUACCAAGGCGACGAUCCAUAGCUGGUCUGAGAGGAUGAUCAGCCACACUGGGACUGAGACACGGCCCAGACGCCUACGGGAGGCAGCAGUGGGGUAUAUUGGACAAUGGGCGCAAGCCUGAUCCAGCCAUGCCGCGUGAGUGAUGAAGGCCCUAGGGUUGUAAAGCUCUUUCACCGGUGAAGAUAAUGACGGUAACCGGAGAAGAAGCCCCGGCUAACUUCGUGCCAGCCGCCGCGGUAACAC